ACCACGCAGGUGGCACAAAAGCUGCUUUGUCUCCUCCAGCACAGCUCUAGUGGAUACCUGUAGCUGAUCCAGCCUGAUAGCUGUAGGUACUCCAGCUCCCACAGGGACCACAGGACAGGGCUGAAAACACCCAUGUCAAGGUCCAGCUUUCCCUUCCUGUGUUCCCCUGCCCCUUCUUUCUCCAAGGAAGGUAACAGAGCUCUGCAGCUGGAGAAGAAAGACGCAUCCCCUGCCCAGAUCCUAAAGCCCCAUCACUUUAAGACCCACCUGAAAGGGCUUCUAUACAGUGUUGUGGCGAGACUCUUUAAACCUCAACUGGAGGAUCUGUUGCACAAUCUUAUCUGAAGAUUUGACGGUGGAACAUUAGGCCGAGGAACAAAAGCUUUGUGCCCAGUACGAAAUGGAGCCACACGCAUACAAAUUACAGCUCUCAAGCUCACGGGGGAACUGCUGGCCUAUCCUGCAGGCAAGCCACACCAGCGACCUCAAUGCCAAACACCAACAACUUUGAUGCCUUGGGAGGUUCAGCGUUUCACAUUGCAAAGCCCAUGCUCGAGCUCUCUCCAACUCUACUUUUAGUUUUGUGUCUUUUCCCUCAAACAAGUGUCUAAUAAAAAAAGCAUACACAGAAAAAAAAGGAUGCUUGGCGCCGACUUUAAGUGACAGAAUUUAUAUCAGUUUAAGAAUUAAGAAAUGGCUUUGGAAAAAUAAAGAGCACCUUCCAAAACUAACAUGACGUGGCCAGAUCUGUAGAGGGAUAUAGGUGACUAAUGCCUGAAUUCAAAUCAAAACCCUGGCUUCCAUAGGAAAUGGGUAUUGGGAACCAGCUUACCAGGUUUAAAUUAGCCGUUGUGGACACCCGCCAUUAAGUCACCCAGGUAGACCUGGGCGUCAGCGACUAACGUACAUCACCCUGGGUGCAGGUUUGUGACUUACAGGAACCACUGCCAAAAUAUGAAUUUGUAGAUAUUUACAAAUUUGGAAAGCACCGCACCUAAUUCAUUCUUUACAUAGCAUAACUACCACCCCUCACUAACUCUGAGGAAUAAAUCCACUGCAACCAAAGGAGUUGGGAGCUGCAGAGGUAGGAAAGAACAGCGCCGCACCGGGGAACUCCUCCUCGGACCUUCAAAAGUCACCAAAGACUGACAGUUCUGCCGUUGGACAUCCCAGCAACAUCAGGGAGAAACAUAUAUUUAUUAAAAGAGAGAUUGAUUUUACUCUGCUAAGAGACACGUGGCUUUAAAAACAGUCAAGUGGGAUUUCUUUGCUAUAGCAAUAAAAUAAAAUAAAUAAAUUGGGCAGCAGCAUUGCAGCACUAUCCAGAGGCUGACAGCGUGAUAAUUUAUAUCUGAUGGAGAUAAAACCAGGAGCCAGAACGGAUUGAAAUUUAUGGAAGGAAAUUCUCGAAACUGCUUAAGCAGUAUAAUAUUCAAUCAGCUGAAUUAUUUCCAGGGCCUGCAUGCCUUUGCCAACACUUAAGGAUAACAGUAAGAAACAGAUACAGCAACUACUGGUCACUGCUUGUCAAAUUCAGACUUUAGCUAAGCAGAGGCAAGACCACAGUUUCAACCUGUAUUCAUAACUGCUUUAAAUGAAGUGCUUUGGUUGAGAAAAUAUGGGAGAUGUCAUAAUCCAUAAAACAGGAAGGAAAAAAAAAAAGCUAUUUUCCUCUAGGUUGACUUCAUUGCAAUAUUCAAACCACAGUGUACAACAAACAGUAAAUACUCAGCUAGCCAGAUAAGCCAAGUUUAUUUUGUGCAAAUUCCAGCACUCUAAUUGUGAUUUACAGAUAGGGAUGCCUCUGGCAGCCUAGCCACUGACUUCAGCAGGCUCUGCCUGAGGCUAAGAACUGGGGGAGAAGAAGUUUUAAAGUAAAACUUAAUGCUUUCACACAAAUAAGAGCAUUUCACACUUGUGCAGCUUUCUCUCUCAUCCAAGUGGAGGGUGCAAAUGUCUAAAAAGAAAUGGCCCGUCACACCUUCCAGCCUAAAGGGAGUUCUGAAGCAUCAGAAAACCCCUUUCCCUUCAUCUGCCCCUCCUGGGCAAGGACCAGCAGGACCUUCUGUGCCCAGGCAGCAGGAGAGGGCAAUAUUUCUUACUAGGCAUCUAUAAUAUCAUAAAUAAAGUAAACAUUAAUUCUUAUCCAUGGGUAAA